AGUGAACGCUGGCGGUAGGCCUAACACAUGCAAGUCGAACGGCAGCACAGUAAGAGCUUGCUCUUACGGGUGGCGAGUGGCGGAAGGGUGAGGAAUACAUCGGAAUCUACUUUUUCGUGGGGGAUAACGUAGGGAAACUUACGCUAAUACCGCAUACGACCUACGGUUGAAAGCAGGGGAUCUUCUGACCUUGCGCGAUUGAAUGAGCCGAUGUCGGAUUAGCUAGGUGGCGGGGUAAAGGCCCACCAAGGCGACGAUCCGUAGCUGGGCUGAGAGGAUGAUGAGCGCCACUGGACGUGAGCCACGGUCCAGACUCCUAGGGGAGGCAGCGGUGGGGAAUAUUGGACAAUGGGCGCAAGCCUGAUCCAGCCAUGCCGCGCGGGUGAAGAGGGCCUUCGGGUUGUAAAGCCCUUUUGUUGGGAAAGAAAAGCAGCAGGUUAAUACCCCGCUGUUCUGACGGUACCCAAAGAAUAAGCACCGGCUAACUUCGUG
rnacentral:rRNA from 1 species